ACGGGUGAGUAACACGUGGGCAACCUGCCUAUAAGACUGGGAUAACUUCGGGAAACCGGAGCUAAUACCGGAUAAUUCUUUUCUACACAUGUAGAAAAGCUAAAAGACGGUUUACGCUGUCACUUAUAGAUGGGCCCGCGGCGCAUUAGCUAGUUGGUGAGGUAACGGCUCACCAAGGCCACGAUGCGUAGCCGACCUGAGAGGGUGAUCGGCCACACUGGGACUGAGACACGGCCCAGACUCCUACGGGAGGCAGCAGUAGGGAAUCUUCCGCAAUGGACGAAAGUCUGACGGAGCAACGCCGCGUGAGUGAUGAAGGUUUUCGGAUCGUAAAACUCUGUUGUUAGGGAAGAACAAGUACGAGAGUAACUGCUCGUACCUUGACGGUACCUAACCAGAAAGCCACGGCUAACUACGUGCCAGCAGCCGCGGUAAUACGUAGGUGGCAAGCGUUGUCCGGAAUUAUUGGGCGUAAAGCGCGCGCAGGCGGUCCUUUAAGUCUGAUGUGAAAGCCCACGGCUCAACCGUGGAGGGUCAUUGGAAACUGGGGGACUUGAGUGCAGGAGAGAAGAGUGGAAUUCCAC
rnacentral:rRNA from 1 species